GUCCGGGCCUUGGUGCUUGGGUGGCGCAGCUACGCGAAAGUUUCCGCUGGGGAGCCGGCCGCAAGAUUAAAACUAAAGGAAUUGACGGGGGCCUGCACAAGCGGGGGAGCAUGUGGUUUAAUUCGAAGCACCGCGCAGAACCUUACCAGCGUUUGACAUGUCCGGACGAUUUCCAGAGAUGGAUCUCUUCCCUUCGGGGACUGGAACACAGGUGCUGCAUGGCUGUCGUCAGCUCGUGUCGUGAGAUGUUGGGUUAAGUCCCGCAACGAGCGCAACCCUCGCCUUUAGUUACCAUCAUUUAGUUGGGGACUCUAAAGGAACCGCCGGUGAUAAGCCGGAGGAAGGUGGGGAUGACGUCAAGUCCUCAUGGCCCUUACACG
rnacentral:rRNA from 1 species